rnacentral:rRNA from 1 species
UGCGUAGGCGGCGAAUUAAGUUGGAUGUGAAAUCCCCGGGCUUAACCUGGGUGGUGCAUCCAAAACUGAUUAGCUAGAGUGCAGGAGAGGGAAGCGGAAUUCCUAGUGUAGCGGUGAAAUGCGUAGAUAUUAGGAGGAACACCAGUGGCGAAGGCGGCUUUCUGGACUGUAACUGACGCUGAGGCACGAAAGCGUGGGGAGCAAACA